CUCCAGAAAAGUAUCUUGGAAUAGGAAGCUGUCCUAUUCGAAGCAGACAAAUUAUGCCAGGAGGACCACUUUGAUUGCCCAGCGUGCAGCCCAGACAUGCUUGCAGUAUCUGCUGAUGGAAACAGUAAGCACUACGGAUUCAAGAGUUCAGCAAGAUCGGAGGAAAAAGCCAUCUUUGAUGGCGUGUUCAUCGCGAAUGAUGAUGACAUCGCAAGAAUGUCAUCAACUUCAAUGAAAGCAUUGGCGUGUCAUAGCUGAAGUUCGCUUCCAUACUCCCCACCACCACCAUCAGGUUGUUCCCUGUUCUUUUGUCCGGGGGUAGGCUCCGCCCCUGUCUUCAACUUCAGGCAGGAUCUGCCGGACUACAGCUAGAUCCUGACGAAAGGCGGGGUAUACGCCAAAAGAAUCUCAUGAGACUCAAGCAUCUAUUUUAUUUGAGACUGAUUUAUACAUGUCAUUCAAACAUUCACUUGCCUUCUGAGUCUUUAUGGUAGAACUAUAUUUCCCAAUAAAACACCACGUCCUAAAGAGGACUUUGUUUAAACAAGUUCGGACUGUUAACCGUCUGUCAUGUUUUAGGUCUCUGGAAGAAGUGACUGUAGAGGGCAAUGGUCAGUGGCACGUGAAACGUCUCAAAAGUCCUCAGGAAAAAACAGACAAGGAGGGCCUGGAACUCACUAUGUGUCAUCAUGGAGUUCUCCUUCGUGCCCUCAAUAGGUUCAGGGGGCCGACCCCCUGUACCUCCAAAAGCAAAUGGCCUGUAAACCAGUUACAUUUUUUGCAAUGAAUGUGGUAUGCAAGUACUGGCCUUUCCUCCAGAGAGUGACAGAUAAAUACCCUGAGCUUCACGAUCUCCUCACCAUAAGGCCAUUUCUUUCUGUUUUUCAGCUUUUUCACCUGCUGCAAUGAUGAUGCCUUUUCCCACAUUUUCCUGUGAUUAGCUUUCUCAAACAAGCUAAGGUGUUCAGCCAGUGUGGUUCUUUACUUUUUUCAGUGCCAUUCCCUUUCCUAUGCCAAAUAGACCAGAUGUAGAAUCACAGCCUAAAAUAACAUGGAUAAAGAGGAGAUUGUCACACACCUUGGGACCCAGUAAAUCCUUUGUCUAAUUUUUGUGCCAUAUCUGUCUUGUUUUUGUUGCUUUCUUUGGUUGUGGUGCCAGAAACAACUCCUGUGCAUUCAGAUCAGCAUGAUGCCACAAGAGUACUAACAAGUCUGUGUCAUCACCUACUAUGACUGUGUUUUUUGUUCUUGCAGAGGCAAUUGCAGUUUAGACAACCCAUCCCUCUCAAGUUUAUCACUGAGAUAAACCAUGAACCGCUGAUUGUUUUCCUUAUUGUUAAGGAAAUGUUCAUUUUUGGGUUGGAUGAUCAUGUCACCAGAGAAGCGUACAGUCACACCGGGAGUAACACCUGUUCGACGCAGUUGAGUGGCGUCUUUUAUUGUUGGUUCUUUUUUGUAGUCAUCAAAGACUAUGACAGUAGGUGUACCAUAUUUCUGUGUAACAUAUCUGACAUACAUUUCACAGACGCGGUCAUAUGUGGACCCUUUUGGCCAUGGCAGACGAUGUAGUAUUGCACCCCCAUCAAGGACAUGCUGGACAUCACUGCUGGGUUGUCUUUGCUGCUGCUCAAUAGAUUUCCAGAGGACAUCGGCAAGAAUUGCCUUGUUUGCCUGUAGGGGGAGGUAGGAUGAUUAAAACAAAGCGGGUGACUGCAGAGUUCAUACUUGAACAGAGAUGGCAAAUACUUUAUUCAUACAGGAAUUUUUAAACAUAUUUGUGUGCCCUGACAAACAAUGUUAUUCUGUUAGGUGAUUUUAAUAUUCACGCUGAUCGUACGACUUGCACACUUACGAAGGACUUUUUAAA